AGCAGUAGCCGCGGUAAAACAGAGGGUGCGAGCGUUAAUCGGAUUUACUGGGCGUAAAGCGUGCGUAGGCGGCUAAUUGAGUCGGAUGUGAAAUCCCCGAGCUUAACUUGGGAAUUGCAUUCGAUACUGGUUAGCUAGAGUGUGGGAGAGGAUGGUAGAAUUCCAGGUGUAGCGGUGAAAUGCGUAGAUCUGGAGGAAUACCGAUGGCGAAGGCAGCCAUCUGGCCUAACACUGACGCUGAGGUACGAAAGCAUGGGGAGCAAACAGGAUUAGAUACCCGUGUAGUCCCUGUCUCUUAUACAC
rnacentral:rRNA from 1 species